CCUUCUAAGUGGAAACAGGCUGCUGCAGAGGAAAGUCGACUCCGGGCAGAACCCGGUGACUCUUGAUUCAUGUUCACCUCUGACCAAGACAGAAACACAGCUGUGGUUAUCAGAAAGCUGCUGGAUUCCCAGGCCAAGUGCGGUAACUGCUGGCACACGCGCAGUGCUCCAGACUGGGCCAGGACUGAGUGCCAAUCGACGGCUUCCCAAUAUUAUCUUCCAGUUGCUAGACUACACUGCUUUCCAGUACAUUAUUUGGAAUAUAAAAACUAAAAUGAUGGGUGCACUUGCAUGGUGAGUGACUCAGAGUGCCUUGGAAGCCACCUCCAAAGAACUAUAAGACCAAUGGCUGCUGACACAGACGCAAGAAUAAAACAACAUGGAGGAGACACAGUCCCAAGUGUACAGGGGACAGUGUAUACUGCUGACCUGGCAAUGUUCUCUGCGUGCAGGGCGAGCACAGGGAACCCCACGGUGGCCUGGACAGAGAUGGAGCAGGAGACGUUGGCGCUGCCCGAGCAAAUGUCUUCACUGGAAGAUUAUUGAUGCUGUUCUCCCUUCGCCUGACACCACAUUCAUUUCAAAUACAGAGGAAGAAUUUGUAGGCGGACUUUGGGAAUGAAACGGGCUAGACUUCUGAGGAUAAAUAUACCUGGGCCUCUCUAAUAACCAUUUUCAUACUUUUUUUUUUUUGCUAGACUUUAUUUUUUAGAGCAGUUUUAGGUUCAGAGCAAAACUGAGUGGAAAGCACAGAGAUUUCCCAUGUACCCUCUGUACCCCCACAGGCACAGCCUCCCCCACUAUGAGCAUCCCCCACCAGAUCGUACAUUUGUUACAGAUGAUGAACCUGUAUUGACACGUCACAUCAACCAAAGUCCAUAUGUCACAUUAGGGUUCACUCAUGGUGUUGGACAUUCUAUGGAUUUGGGCAAAUGUAUAAUGACAUGUAUCUACCACUGCAAGUAUCAGACAAAAAGUAGUUUCACUCCCUAAAAAUCCUCUCCCU